rnacentral:rRNA from 1 species
UGUAGGGUGCGAGCGUUAAUCGGAAUUACUGGGCGUAAAGCGUGCGCAGGCGGUUUUGUAAGACAGAUGUGAAAUCCCCGGGCUCAACCUGGGACCUGCAUUUGUGACUGCAAGGCUAGAGUACGGUAGAGGGGGAUGGAAUUCCGCGUGUAGCAGUGAAAUGCGUAGAUAUGCGGAGGAACACCGAUGGCGAAGGCAAUCCCCUGGACCUGUACUGACGCUCAUGCACGAAAGCGUGGGGGAGCAAACAGGAUUAGAUACCCUGGUAGUCCACGCCCUAAACGAUGUCAACUGGUUGUUGGGUCUUUACUGACUCAGUAACGAAGCUAACGCGUGGAGUUGACCGCCUGGGGAGUACGGCCGCAAGGUUG